rnacentral:rRNA from 1 species
ACGCUCGACACCUACGGGGGGCAGCAGUGGGGAAUAUUGCACAAUGGGGGAAACCCUGAUGCAGCGACGCCGCGUGAGCGAAGAAGUAUCUCGGUAUGUAAAGCUCUAUCAGCAGGGAAGAAGAUGACGGUACCUGACUAAGAAGCACCGGCUAAAUACGUGCUAGCAGCCGCGGUAAUCUGAGCGGGCUGGCAAGGC